ACGCGACCGUCAACGGUGUCGGCAUAAUGCGUACCUGGUAUUUUUGGUACAAUAUCAUAUUGUUGUACAGCGUUUCCAAUUCCGAGUCGUUUGAUCGAUCCACUAAUAUUUAAUAACGCACAUUGUAAUGCACAAUAGAAAAACCGCGCACGACGUUUCUGUUAAUUGUUAUCGUAUGAAAUACAUUAAUUUGGUGUAUUGUCCUGUGUAUAAUGUUCAUAUUGCCU